AGGUGCGACUGGUGGUCGCGGCUGCUAUCACACAGCAGCUAGGAGGGGUUCAAUUCCCCCCCCAUCCGGAGGGUUAUCCGGCCCA
rfam:Soil-borne wheat mosaic virus (SBWMV) complete RNA 2 segment: 84 kDa readthrough protein, 19 kDa capsid protein and 19 kDa cysteine-rich protein genes, complete cds.